GGGGAUUUAGCUCAGCGGUAGAGCACUUGCCUAGCAAGCGCAAGGCCCUGGGUUCGAUCCCCAGCUCCA
rfam:Rattus norvegicus chromosome 2, whole genome shotgun sequence.